AGGAAUACCCAGCCUGAGCUUUGGAUGUGUCCUCUGAGGAAGUACCCAUGACACAGACCACACUGGACACCAACUCUGAUAUCAGGGAAAGGUUCCACAACAGUUGAGUGUGAACAUGGGAUCACUGAGCUCCUUGGUGCAGAGCUGCUAAUGUCCCCUCUUGAGCUGACGGAGGCUGGUGCUGCCUUGAAGCAUGCCAUGCCAAUUCACAGCAAGGUCUUUAUUGUUGAAACUCUUGCAUAAUGACAUCUUUAUUCAUGUGAAAAUACAGGAUGAAUUUCAACUAUAUGAUAUUGUUUAUGUUCAUCAGAAAUGUUAUUUGUCUUUACAAAGUCUGGUUUCAAUGAACCGGCUAUGUAAUGGAUAUUAAAUAAACAUGGAAUUUUACACAUUCAUAAUA
rnacentral:lncRNA from 1 species